UACGUAGGGGGCGAGCGUUGUCCGGAUUCAUUGGGCGUAAAGAGCUCGUAGGCGGUUCAGUAAGUCAGGUGUGAAAUCUCCGCGCUCAACGCGGAGCGGCCACCUGAUACUGCUGUGACUCGAGUCCGGUAGGGGAGUGUGGAAUUCCCGGUGUAGCGGUGAAAUGCGCAGAUAUGCGGAGGAACACCGAUGGCGAAGGCAAUCCCCUGGACCUGUACUGACGCUCAUGCACGAAAGCGUGGGGAGCAAACAGG
rnacentral:rRNA from 1 species